UAAAUACUCCCUAGUGACCGAUAGUGAACCAGUACCGUGAGGGAAAGGUGAAAAGCACCCCGGAAGGGGAGUGAAACAGUUCCUGAAACCGUGUGCCUACAAGUAGUUAGAGCCCGUUAAUGGGUGAUAGCGUGCCUUUUGUAGAAUGAACCGGCGAGUUACGAUUUGUUGCAAGGUUAAGCGGAAAAAGCGGAGCCGUAGCGAAAGCGAGUCUGAAUAGGGCGCAUAAGUAACAGGUCGUAGACCCGAAACCAGGUGAUCUACCCAUGUCCAGGAUGAAGGUAAGGUAAUACUUACUGGAGGUCCGAACCCACGCACGUUGAAAAGUGCGGGGAUGAGGUGUGGGUAGCGGAGAAAUUCCAAUCGAACUUGGAGAUAGCUGGUUCUCUCCGAAAUAGCUUUAGGGCUAGCCUCGAGGUAAAGAGUCAUGGAGGUAGAGCACUGUUUGGACUAGGGGCCCUUCUCGGGUUACCGAAUUCAGAUAAACUCCGAAUGCCAUGUACUUAUACUCGGGAGUCAGACUGCGAGUGAUAAGAUCCGUAGUCGAAAGGGAAACAGCCCAGACCACCAGUUAAGGUCCCCAAAUAUAUGUUAAGUGGAAAAGGAUGUGGGGUUGCUUAGACAACCAGGAUGUUGGCUUAGAAGCAGCCACCAUUGAAAGAGUGCGUAAUAGCUCACUGGUCGAGUGACCCCGCGCCGAAAAUGUACCGGGGCUAAACAUAUUACCGAAACUGUGGAUGAACCUCUUUAGAGGUUCGUGGUAGGAGAGCGUUCUAAGGGCGGUGAAGUCAGACCGGAAGGACUGGUGGAGCGCUUAGAAGUGAGAAUGCCGGUAUGAGUAGCGAAAGAAGGGUGAGAAUCCCUUCCACCGAAUAUCUAAGGUUUCCUGAGGAAGGCUCGUCCGCUC
rnacentral:rRNA from 1 species